ensembl:lncRNA
CUUAGUUCCACAACAACCAGUCCCUCUUAGUUCCACAACAACCAGUCCCUCUUAGUUCCACAACAACCAGUCCCUCUUCACUCCACAACAACCAGUCCCUCUUAGUUCCACAGCAACCAGUCCCUCUUAGUUCCACAACAACCAGUCCCUCUUAGUUUCACAGCAACCAGUCCCUGUUAGCUAAGACAGUACGUUCCCAAUAAAAACAUAAUUCCACCUUGACAUUAUGGGGUAGAUCAGUGACAAAACAAUCUUCCUUUCAAUCCAUUUCAAAUUCAGGCUGUAAACACAACAAACAUUAGGAUAAAGUCAACGGGUGUGAAGGCUCAAAGUAAACAAAACAUUAUGAACACCUGCUCUUUCCAUGACAGACUGACCAGGUGAAUCCAGGUGAAAGCUGUCAUCCCUUAUUGAUGUCACCUGUUAAAUCCACUUCAAUCAGUGUAGAUGAAUGGGAGGAGACGGGAUAAAGGAAGGAUUUUUAAGCCUUGAGACAUGGAUUGUGUCUGUGUGUCAUUCAGAGGGUGAAUGGGCAAGACAAAAUAUUUAAGUGCCUUUGAACGGGGUAUGGUAGUAGGAGGUGCCUUUGAACAGGGUAUGGUAGUAGGUGCCUUUGAACAGGGUGUGGUAGUAGGUGCCUUUGAAUGGGGGUAUGGUAGUAGGUGCCUUUGAACAGGGUGUGGUAGUAGGUGCCUUUGAACAGGGUGUGGUAGUAGGUGCCAGGCACACUGGUUGUGUCAAGAACUGCAACGCUGCUGAGUUUUUCACACUCAACAGUUUCCCGUGUGUAUCAAGAAUUGUCAACCACCUAGAGAAGUUCCAGCCAACUUGACGCAAUUGUGGAAAGCAUUGGAGUCAACAUGGGCCAGCAUCCCUGUGGAACGCUUUCAACACCUUGUAGAGGGGGGUGGAGCAACUCAAUAUUAGGAAGCUGUUCUUAAUGUUUUGUUCACUCAAUGUAGAUUGUACAGUAUAGUACAUUCCCUGAACAAAAGCAGGAUCUAGAUUAUACAGCUCUAUCUGAACAGAUGCUGGCAAACCUAAAGAGUCAUUCCAUUUGAUUCUUGAUGACAGUCCAUGAUGCUGCUAAACCUAAAGAGUCAUUCCAUUUGAUUCUUGAUGACAGUCCAUGAUGCUGCUAAACCUAAAGAGUCAUUCCAUUUGAUUCUUGAUGACAGUCCAUGAUGCUGCUAAACCUAAAGAGUCACUCCAUUUGAUUCUCGAUGACAGUCCCUGAUGCUGCUAAACCUAAAGAGUCACUCCAUUUGAUUCUUGAUGACAGUCCCUGAUGCUGCUAAACCUAAAGAGUCACUCCAUU